rnacentral:rRNA from 1 species
ACGUACACUCCUGCGGGAGGCAGCAGUGGGGAAUAUUGCACAAUGGGCGCAAGCCUGAUGCAGCCAUGCCGCGUGUAUGAAGAAGGCCUUCGGGUUGUAAAGUACUUUCAGCGGGGAGGAAGGCAAUACGGUUAAUAACCGUGUUGAUUGACGUUACCCGCAGAAGAAGCUCCGGCUAACUCCGUGCCAGCAGCCGCGGUAAUACGGAGGGUGCAAGCGUUAAUCGGAAUUACUGGGCGUAAAGCGCACGCAGGCGGUCUGUCAAGUCGGAUGUGAAAUCCCCGGGCUCAACCUGGGAACUGCAUUCGAAACUGGCAGGCUUGAGUCUUGUAGAGGGGGGUAGAAUUCCAGGUGUAGCGGUGAAAUGCGUAGAGAUCUGGAGGAAUACCGGUGGCGAAGGCGGCCCCCUGGACAAAGACUGACGCUCAGGUGCGAAAGCGUGGGGAGCAAACAGGAUUAGAAACCCUUGUAGUCCC